GGCCUCUAGUGCUGUCGGCAGGGACCCCGCGCACCAGCCUGUGUGGUACCGGAAGCCCGAUGAAGUCUUGUCCCACGGGAAGGUAAACUCCAUAAGAAAAAGAAUUUGUAUCCGUUUUGUUCAGUGCUGUGCUCUCUGGGGCCUUGAAUGGAGCUUUGGAUAACAGACGCUCGAUGAAUAUUCCUUGAACGAAUGAAUGAAUGCAGCCUGCACUUAGAAAAACGUCUCUAUGGAGUAUAUAGAUUGUGAAGUCAUUGUACUCAUGGAGAGACAAGUUCCUUAACAGUUCUCAAACGUGUCAAGAGCUUCAUACACGUGAACGCGAACAUGGACUUUUUCAAUGAAGCCACCCUUCGUGAAAGCAGAGGCUUCCAGAGCAGUGUGGAUGCAGGGGGCGGGUCCAGAGCACGCCUAUUCGGAGAGGCGCAAAAGCAGCCCAGUUCAAUGAAAGAGCAUGUGGAGUUUUAGAGAGAAAACAAUGUAAUUCCUCAAAAUGGCUAUUUUUGAGAAAAGUCUGUACUCUUCAUCACGUUGCUUCUGGAAAGUUUCUAGAGGCUUCUGGAUUUAGAAGGCUGGGCUCCAGAUACAAAUAACACAGGUCUGUCUGUCUUCUUCCCAGAGCCACCUUUUCUUGUUUUAGGAGGAAGGAAGCAUGCAUGUGACUCGUACUUCCUUCAGGCCCUGGAGAUUGUCCUCCAUCACUAUCCGGAUCAAAACUCUCCUGCCUGCUCUUAACACUGAAGGACUGAGUGAAUUCCAAGAGUGGCCUUGCCGAGUGAGUCAUAUCCCCAUUUCGCGUGAUUUGGACCUUACUCAGCCAAGGACAUUUAAGCGUUUCUGGAUGAAUUAUUUAAGGAGGGGGCAAAGGAAGACUGAGAGGUAGAUCCUGAGAUUCAAGUUGGAUUCUGUGGAAUUGAUUAGCAGCAACAAACCAGGCUUGGCACAUCCUGUACACGUGCUAUGGCUAUUGGGUAGUUCUCAAGGGGCCAUUCUGCUUCAACAGUUGCCCCCCAAUUAUAUUCUCAAGACAGUAGCUGGAGUAAUCCUUUGAACAGGUAAGUCACAUCCCCUCUGCUAAAAACCUUCCAGUGGCUUUCCAUCUUACUCUGAGUGAAAGCUAGAGUUUUGCAGUGGCCUGAAAGGCCCUGUGUGACCUGUCCUCACUCCAGACACCUGCUUAACCUAAUCUGCUACCACUGUCACCAGCUUCGCUAGGGCCACACUGGUCUCUUGACUUUCCUCAGACACACCAGCCAAAUUCCUACCUCGGGGCCUCUGCUUUUGCUGCACGUUCAGCCCUGGAAAACUCUCCUCCCAGGUAACUUAGUGACUCCCUUCCUCACUUCUUCCAAGGUCUCUGCUCAAAUGUCACCUUCCCUGCGAGGUCUUCCCUGGACAGCCUUAAAAAAAUUAGCAAUCAGGGGCGCCUGGGUGGCCC